UAGAGUUUGAUCCUGGCUCAGGACGAACGCUGGCGGCGUGCCUAACACAUGCAAGUCGAGCGGGGACAGCGGAGUAGCAAUACGAAGCUGUUCUAGCGGCGGACGGGUGAGUAACGCGUGAGCAACCUGUCCCAGUCAGGGGGAUAACGAGCCGAAAGGCUCCCUAAUACCGCAUAAGACCACGAAGUCACAUGGCUUUGAGGUCAAAGGAGAGAUCCGGACUGGGGUGGGCUCGCGUCUGAUUAGCUAGUUGGUGAGGUAAAGGCCCACCAAGGCGACGAUCAGUAGCCGACCUGAGAGGGUGAUCGGCCACAUUGGAACUGAGACACGGUCCAAACUCCUACGGGAGGCAGCAGUGGGGAAUAUUGGGCAAUGGGCGAAAGCCUGACCCAGCAACGCCGCGUGAAGGAAGAAGGUCUUCGGAUCGUAAACUUCUAUCCUUGGUGAAGAUAAUGACGGUAGCCGAGAAGGAAGCCCCGGCUAACUACGUGCCAGCAGCCGCGGUAAUA
rnacentral:rRNA from 1 species